AAGGGCACCACAAGAACGCGUGGAGCAUGUGGCUUAAUUUGACUCAACGCGGGAAAUCUUACCAGGUCCGGACAUAUUGAGGAUUGACAGGCGAUAGUAAUAUUAUUAUAUAAUAUUGCAUAAAAAUGAUAGUCCUUUCAUGAUUAUAUGAUAGGUGGUGCAUGGCCGUUCUUAGUUCGUGGAGUGAUUUGUCUGCUUAAUUGCGUUUCAGAUAUAUAAUUAUAUAAUAUAUUAUAUAGUAAUAUAUAAUUUAAUAUUGUGCUGCCUUAUAUAUUAUUUAUAAGGAUUUUAAGUGAACAUAUUUUAUUAUACAUAUAUUAUUAUAUAUAUUUAUUAUAUAUUAAAAUGAAUGCAACGAACGUGACCGUAACCUUUUAUUGCUAUAAAUAAUAUAUAUUAUUUAUAUUAUAAUAUAGCAUAAAAUUAAAGGGACCGCUGUCUAAAUUUUAGUGUUAAAUAGAGUAAGAUUACGGCAAUAACAGGUCUGUGAUGCCCUCAGAUGUUCUGGGCUGCACACGUGCUACAAUAAUUACAUUAAUAAGUAUCUAUUAUAAUACAUAAUAUGUUUACAUAUUAUAAUAAACCUAUUUCGAAAGUAAAUGGGUAAUCAUUUAAAAAUCGUGAUUAUUCAUACAUAUAUGGUAUAUUAAUAUUGUAUAAUACUAUACAUUUUAUAGUACUAUUACAAAUACCAUUAAUUAAUUUAAGGUGGGGAUAGUGUAUUGUUAAUUAUUACACUUGGCCUUAACUAGGAAUGCCUUGUACUCUUCUUUGGUUUAACAUACCAAGAGGAAUACGUCCCUGCCCUUUGUACACACCGCCCGUCGCUCUUACCGAUGAAUUAUAUUAUAAAUCUAAGGGACAUACAUAUCCUGAAAUUGAAUAUAUUGAAACUUAUAUACAUAAUGUGAUUUAAAGGAAAGAGAAGUCGUAACAAGGCAUCG
rnacentral:rRNA from 1 species